AAAUCAUAGUGUGGGCACAGUUUGAGCAUGUUUUUAAAUCUAUCCCAAGCUUCAUAUAAAGAUUCUGUGUCGUCCUACCAGAAGCUAGCAAUUAAAUUAUGCAUAU